GCCCUUAGAGUUUGAUCCUGGCUCAGGACGAACGCUGGCGGCGUGCUUAACACAUGCAAGUCGAGCGGUAAGGCCCUUCGGGGUACACGAGCGGCGAACGGGUGAGUAACACGUGAGCAACCUGCCCCUGACUCUGGGAUAAGCGGUGGAAACGCCGUCUAAUACCGGAUACGACCUUCCACCUCAUGGUGGAGGGUGGAAAGUUUUUUCGGUCAGGGAUGGGCUCGCGGCCUAUCAGCUUGUUGGUGGGGUAACGGCCUACCAAGGCGAUUACGGGUAGCCGGCCUGAGAGGGCGACCGGCCACACUGGGACUGAGACACGGCCCAGACUCCUGCGGGAGGCAGCAGUGGGGAAUAUUGCGCAAUGGGCGAAAGCCUGACGCAGCGACGCCGCGUGGGGGAUGACGGCCUUCGGGUUGUAAACCUCUUUUACCACCAACGCAGGCUCCGGGUUCUCUCGGGGUUGACGGUAGGUGGGGAAUAAGGACCGGCUAACUACGUGCCAGGCAGCCGCGGUAACUACGUAGGGGU
rnacentral:rRNA from 1 species